rnacentral:lncRNA from 1 species
CUCCAUAGUGAAGGCUGAAUGCUUUUUUUGUUUGUUUCUAGAAUUCUUUACUGGAACUGGAGGAAAAAGAGAUGCACAUUAGGAAACAUCUGGAUAAUAUGGAUCUGGAGUCUGGUCCAGUAACAAGAAGUGCUCCUGCAGGACAAUGGCUAUCGCACCAUGACACCAUCCAUCUCUUCGUUAUAAGGAUAAACAAAGGCCCAGCAUGUUUCAAAAUCUCCAUCACCGAGCUGAGAAGUCAGAAAUAGAAAUGGAGGAAGACAUUAAAAGGGGUGACAUCAAAGUAGGUGAUGUGGUGACUAAUUGAAUCUAAGCUGGAAACAGGAAUAAACAAACCUAGAGAGUGGAGGAAGACUGGGGAAAGCAGGAGAAGAAGGGAAGAGGCAAAAGAGUAGAGAGAGAAAGAACAGGGAGAUAAAGAGUCGUGGAAGCAGAGAACUGAAAGAACAGGACGUUGAGGUAAGAACUAG